GGGGAACUUCGGGGAUUCGCGCUAGUAACGGCGAGUGAAGCGGUAAGAGCUCAAGCUUAAAAUCUCUGCGCAAGUUUUGCGCGGCGAAUUGUAGUCUAUAGACGCGGCAUCAGUGCGGCCGUUCGGGGUAAGUUCCUUGGAAGAGGACAGCAAUGAGGGUGAUACUCCCGUUUGUACCCGAGUGUGUUGCACGUACGAUGCGUGUUCUUUGAGUCGCGUUGUUUGGGAAUGCAGCGCAAAGUAGGUGGUAAAUUCCAUCUAAAGCUAAAUAUUGGUGCGAGACCGAUAGCGAACAAGGUACCGUGAGGGAAAGAUGAAAAGAACUUUGAAAAGAGAGUUAAAGAGUACCUGAAACUGCUGAAAGGGAACCGGGUCGUUGCCAGUGUCUAUAAUCCGCUGCAUAUUUCAUUGCUGUGCGAGUCCGUGUCGCGCGUUGGUAGUANUUUGUUCUGCACCGCGCGUGUCUGUGGGUUUUGUUCGGCGGUGCCCUGUGCGGUGGUGGGACGUCAGAGUCAGUUCGUGUUUGCUGCGGGGAAAUGGCUGUCCNAGGGAGGUAGGUCAGGNGCCUUGCCUUUUGGCUGUUAUAUUCUUGGCGUGCUAAUUGUUCUUGGUUGGGACUGAGGUGCCUUACAACCUGCUUUUGGAGUGCGUGUU
rnacentral:rRNA from 1 species